rnacentral:rRNA from 1 species
UACAGAGGGUGCAAGCGUUAAUCGGAAUUACUGGGCGUAAAGCGUGCGCAGGCGGCUAUGCAAGACAGAUGUGAAAUCCCCGGGCUCAACCUGGGAACUGCAUUUGUGACUGCAUAGCUAGAGUACGGUAGAGGGGGAUGGAAUUCCGCGUGUAGCAGUGAAAUGCGUAGAUAUGCGGAGGAACACCGAUGGCGAAGGCAAUCCCCUGGACCUGUACUGACGCUCAUGCACGAAAGCGUGGGGAGCAAACAGG